GAUGAACGCUGGCGGCGUGCCUAAUACAUGCAAGUCGAGCGAACGGACGAGAAGCUUGCUUCUCUGAUGUUAGCGGCGGACGGGUGAGUAACACGUGGAUAACCUACCUAUAAGACUGGGAUAACUUCGGGAAACCGGAGCUAAUACCGGAUAAUAUUUUGAACCGCAUGGUUCAAAAGUGAAAGACGGUCUUGCUGUCACUUAUAGAUGGAUCCGCGCUGCAUUAGCUAGUUGGUAAGGUAACGGCUUACCAAGGAAACGAUGCAUAGCCGACCUGAGAGGGUGAUCGGCCACCCUGGAACUGAGACACGGUCCAGACUCCUACGGGAGGCAGCAGUAGGGAAUCUUCCGCAAUGGGCGAAAGCCUGACGGAGCAACGCCGCGUGAGUGAUGAAGGUCUUCGGAUCGUAAAACUCUGUUAUUAGGGAAGAACAUAUGUGUAAGUAACUGUGCACAUCUUGACGGUACCUAAUCAGAAAGCCACGGCUAACUACGUG
rnacentral:rRNA from 1 species